rnacentral:rRNA from 1 species
AGUGAACGCUGGCGGUAGGCCUAACACAUGCAAGUCGAACGGCAGCACAGUAAGAGCUUGCUCUUACGGGUGGCGAGUGGCGGACGGGUGAGGAAUACAUCGGAAUCUACUUUUUCGUGGGGGAUAACGUAGGGAAACUUACGCUAAUACCGCAUACGACCUACGGGUGAAAGCAGGGGAUCUUCGGACCUUGCGCGAUUGAAUGAGCCGCUGUCGGAUUAGCUAGUUGGCGGGGUAAAGGCCCACCAAGGCGACGAUCCGUAGCUGGUCUGAGAGGAUGAUCGGCCACACUGGAACUGAGACACGGUCCAGACUCCUACGGGAGGCAGCAGUGGGGAAUAUUGGACAAUGGGCGCAAGCCUGAUCCAGCGAUACCGCGUGGGUGAAGAAGGCCUUCGGGUUGUAAAGCCCUUUUGUUGGGAAAGAAAAGCAGCAGGUUAAUACCCCGCUGUUCUGACGGUAACCAAAGAAUAAGCACCGGCUAACUUCGUG